ACAAUCAAUCAAUUAUAUUUGUAUAGCACAUUUAAAAACAACUCACGUUGGCCAAAGUACUGUACAUCAGCGCAGGUACUAAUGUGCUAUAUGCAUUGGUACACAGACCUAAUAAUACAUACAUAAACUCAAACAUACAGCGCUCCCCCA